UUUCGAUGGUAGUGUAUUGGACUACCAUGGCUCUCACGGGUAACAGGGAAUUAGGGUUCGAUUCUGGAGAAGGAGCCUGAGAAACGGCUACUACAUCUACGGAAGGCAGCAGGCGCGUAAAUUACCCAAUCCUGAAUCAGGGAGGUGGUGACAAGAUAUAACAACGAGACCUUAAAUCUCGAUUGUAGUGAGGGUUUUCUAAAUAGAACCUAUAGUACGAUUAGAGGGCAAGUCUGGUGCCAGCAGCCGCGGUAAUUCCAGCUCUAAUAGCGUAUAUUAAAGUUGCUGCAGUUAAAAAGCUCGUAGUUGGAUUUCAAGGUUUGUAUUCUCUACCGGGAAUACACCCUACUAGUCAUUGACUGUUACUGUGAGAAAAUUAGAGUGUUUCAAGCAGGCUUUUGCAAGAAUACAUUAGCAUGGAAUAACGAAUGUAUUUAGAAUCGUGGUUUAAUUCUAAAUUACGAUUAAUAGAGACAGUUGGGGGGCAUUAGUAUUUAAUUGUCAGAGGUGAAAUUCUUGGAUUUGUUAAAGACUAACGUAUGCGAAAGCAUUUGCCAAGGAUGUUUCAUUAAUCAAGGACGAAAGAUAGGGAUCAAAGACAAUCAGAUACUGUCGUAGUCCUAUCUAUAAACUAUGCCGACUAGGGAUUGGAGCGGGCAUAUACCAU
rnacentral:rRNA from 1 species